AACGCUCGUAGCAAUACGGGAGUGGCGGACGGGUGAGUAACGCGUGGGAACGUGCCCUGAGGUACGGAAUAACUGCGGGAAACUGCAGCUAAUACCGUAUGAGCCCCGUGAGGGGGAAAGAUUUAUCGCCUUAGGAGCGGCCCGCGUCGGAUUAGCUAGUUGGUGGGGUAACGGCUUACCAAGGCUUCGAUCCGUAGCUGGUCUGAGAGGACGAUCAGCCACACUGGGACUGAGACACGGCCCAGACUCCUACGGGAGGCAGCAGUGGGGAAUCUUGCGCAAUGGGGGCAACCCUGACGCAGCCAUGCCGCGUGAAUGAUGAAGGCCUUAGGGUUGUAAAGUUCUUUUGCCCGUGACGAUGAUGACGGUAACGGGAGAAUAAGCUCCGGCUAACUUCGUGCCAGCAGCCGCGGUAAUACGAAGGGGGCUAGCGUUGUUCGGAAUUACUGGGCGUAAAGCGCGCGCAGGCGGUUCGA
rnacentral:rRNA from 1 species